UACGGUUACAUCAAGUUGAAAAACCGGUUCUCGUAUGAUCACAAAAGUUAAGAAAUGUUGAGCCAGUUCAGUACCUAGAUGCGAGAACCCUUGGGAAUAACG